CUUUGAUUCUGGCUCAGGAUGAACGCUGGCGGCAUGCCUAAGACAUGCAAGUCGAACGAGAUGGCCCAGUGAAGGUUGAGUGCUUGCACAAGACUGAAUCUGGAUUCCCAUCUAGUGGCAGACGGGUGAGUAACACGUGGGUGACCUACCUUUUCGUUGGGGAUAACAGUUGGAAACGAUUGCUAAUACCGAAUAAAAUGUAAGAGUCAAUUUUACAUUGAAAGGAGCCUUUAAAGCUUCGCGAUUAGAUGGGCCUGCGGCGUAUUAACUAGUUGGUGAGGUAAUGGCUUACCAAGGUGACGAUGCGUAGCCGAACUGAGAGGUUGAUCGGCCACAUUGGGACUGAGACACGGCCCAAACUCCUACGGGAGACAGCAGUUAGGAAUAUUCGUCAAUGGAGGAAACUCUGAACGAGCAAUGCCGCGUGAGUGAUGAAGGUCUUAUAGAUUGUAAAACUCUGUUGUAUGGAAAAAACGACUAGGUUAGGAAAUGAACUUAGUGUGAUGGUACCAUACCAGAAAGCCCCGGCUAACUACGUGCCAGCAGCCGCGGUAAUACGUAGGGGGCGAGCGUUAUCCGGAUUUAUUGGGCGUAAAGCGUGUGUAGGCGGUUUAUUAAGUUUAAGAUUAAAGCCCGGGGCUUAACUCCGGUAAGUCUUAAAAACUGGUAGACUUGAGUACGGUAGAGGCGAACGGAAUUUCUAGUGUAGCGGUGAAAUGCGUAGAUAUUAGAAGGAACACCAGUGGCGAAAGCGGUUUGCUGGGCCGUUACUGACGCUGAGGCACGAAAGCGUGGGGAGCAAAUAGGAUUAGAUACCCUAGUAGUCCACGCCGUAAACGAUGAGUACUAAGUGUUGGGGUUACCCAGUGCUGAAG
rnacentral:rRNA from 1 species